GUUAAAACACUGUAGCAUCGUCCGUGUCUCGUGAUUGGGUGAGUUUCUUUCAGGUCAAUAUCGAUUGUUACAACACCAAUCACGGUGAGUCAGUGCGGAAGCAAACACGUCCUGAGUGGCUCGGUCAAAUAAGGCAACGACUUCCCUGGCAGACGUCCGCCAAUCACAAGGAAGAAACCGCUGGUCCCGCGAACCCACGAGGGAACAAGAGAAAUAUGGCUUCAAAACCUUAUCGCGGAGUGGAGAAGAGAAGAGAACAAAGAAGUGAUAAGGAAGAAGAGAAGAUAGGGAUCUGAGGAGAGAAGCGGACUGUGUCCAUGAGGAGCGGCGGUCAGCAAGGAGGAGUGUGUCGCAGCGUGUCAGCAGCGUAACGAUAAAUGCAGCACUGUAGCGUCGCAUCACUGCCGCUUGCCGGAAAGUAUGGAGUGGGGCUUUCAAUACUCUCCUCCCCCUUCUUCGCCUGAGAGUUGUUGAACUAUCGGUACUCUCUGAUGAGUCAUCGC